CCUACGGGAGGCAGCAGUGGGGAAUAUUGGACAAUGGGCGAAAGCCUGAUCCAGCAAUACCGCGUGAAUGAUGAAGGCCUUAGGGUUGUAAAGUUCUUUUAGUUGGAAAGAUAAUGACGGUACCACAGAAAAAGCCCCGGCUAACUCCGUGCCAGCAGCCGCGGUAAU
rnacentral:rRNA from 1 species